rnacentral:rRNA from 1 species
UACAGAGGGUGCAAGCGUUGUUCGGAAUUAUUGGGCGUAAAGGGCGCGUAGGCGGUGCGGUAAGUCUGCGGUGAAAUCUCCCGGCUCAACUGGGAGGCUGCCGUGGAAACUGCCGUGCUUGAGUGUGGGAGAGGUGAGUGGAAUUCCCGGUGUAGCGGUGAAAUGCGUAGAUAGUCGGGAGGAACACCUGUGGCGAAAGCGGCUCACUGGACCACAACUGACGCUGAGGCGCGAAAGCUAGGGGAGCAACAGG